rnacentral:tRNA from 1 species
GCCGAGAUAGCUCAGUUGGUAGAGCAGCAGUUUUGUAAACUGCGGGUCGCGGGUUCAAAUCCUGUUCUCGGCUCCA